rnacentral:piRNA from 1 species
UAUCAUCUUCUAUGUUGCUAGACAUGACU